UACGUAGGGUGCAAGCGUUGUCCGGAAUUAUUGGGCGUAAAGAGCUCGUAGGCGGUCUGUCGCGUCUGCUGUGAAAACUCGGGGCUUAACCCCGGGCCUGCAGUGGGUACGGGCAGACUAGAGUGCGGUAGGGGAGACUGGAAUUCCUGGUGUAGCGGUGAAAUGCGCAGAUAUCAGGAGGAACACCGGUGGCGAAGGCGGGUCUCUGGGCCGUAACUGACGGCUGGAGGAGCGAAAGCGUGGGGAGCGAAACAGG
rnacentral:rRNA from 1 species